rnacentral:rRNA from 1 species
CCUACGGGUGGCAGCAGUGGGGAAUAUUGGACAAUGGGCGAAAGCCUGAUCCAGCCAUGCCGCGUGUGUGAAGAAGGCCUUCGGGUUGUAAAGCACUUUCAGUGGGGAAGAAAGCCUUGGGGCUAAUACCCUCGAGGAAGGACAUUACCCACAGAAGAAGCACCGGCUAACUCCGUGCCAGCAGCCGCGGUAAUACGGAGGGUGCGAGCGUUAAUCGGAAUUACUGGGCGUAAAGCGCGCGUAGGCGGUCUGAUAAGCCGGUUGUGAAAGCCCCGGGCUCAACCUGGGAACGGCAUCCGGAACUGUCAGGCUAGAGUGCAGGAGAGGAAGGUAGAAUUCCCGGUGUAGCGGUGAAAUGCGUAGAGAUCGGGAGGAAUACCAGUGGCGAAGGCGGCCUUCUGGACUGACACUGACGCUGAGGUGCGAAAGCGUGGGUAGCAAACAGGAUUAGAUACCCGAGUAGUC